UCACGAAAGUGGAUUGUACUAGAAGUCUGCGUGCUGACCCGCAAGGGAGGCAGCGGCCCAAGGUAUGAUUCAUGAUUGGGGUG
rnacentral:rRNA from 1 species